rnacentral:rRNA from 1 species
UACGUAGGGGGCAAGCGUUAUCCGGAUUUACUGGGUGUAAAGGGAGCGUAGACGGUUAUGCAAGUCUGAAGUGAAAGCCCAAGGCUCAACCAUGGGACUGCUUUGGAAACUGUAAAACUGGAGUGCAGGAGAGGUAAGCGGAAUUCCUAGUGUAGCGGUGAAAUGCGUAGAUAUUAGGAGGAACACCAGUGGCGAAGGCGGCUUACUGGACUGUAACUGACGUUGAGGCACGAAAGCGUGGGGAGCAAACAGG